rnacentral:rRNA from 1 species
CCUACGGGAGGCUGCAGUGAGGAAUAUUGGUCAAUGGUCGGGAGACUGAACCAGCCAAGCCGCGUGAGGGAGGAAGGUACAGAGUAUCGUAAACCUCUUUUGUCAGGGAACAAAGACUGGGACGCGUCCCCGGAUGAGUGUACCUGAAGAAAAAGCAUCGGCUAACUCCGUGCCAGCAGCCGCGGUAAUACGGAGGAUGCGAGCGUUAUCCGGAUUUAUUGGGUUUAAAGGGUGCGCAGGCGGUCUGUUAAGCUACCGUUAAAAGCCCGGGGCCCACCCCCGGCCCGCCGUUGAAACUGGCAGUCUCGAGUUGGAGCGAAGUAUGCGGAAUGCGCGGUGUAGCGGUGAAAUGCAUAGAUAUCGCGCAGAACUCCGAUUGCGAAGGCAGCAUGCCGGCUCCACACUGACGCUGAGGCACGAAAGCGUGGGUAUCGAACAGGAUUAGAUACCCCGGUAGUC